CCGUGGCUCAACUGGAUAGAGCACUGGAUUUCGGUUCCAGUGGUUAUAGGUUCGAAUCCUAUCGGG
rnacentral:tRNA from 1 species